CAUGUGCAUAUAGUACCAGUUAUAACUCCAAAUCCGAGUUAUUCACCAUUCUUCCUCUACUACUUGUUAUUGCUCUAGUCUGAAGAUCUUGAUUCUUGAGAAAGGUUACAUUACACGUGCAGAAACAUUUUGUAACACAGUGGUGAAGGCUGAAGAAACAUGGAAUUGAGUGCACUUGUUGUAGAAGGCGAUGCGAACGUACGAAACGUUCAUAAGGAUCUGUUGAGAUUAGUUGGGAAUUGUACUACUGUGAACAGUGGCUUGCAAGCUGUGAUCCUUCAUCGCAUGGGUAAAAGAUUUGACGUCAUUCUCAUGGACAUGGACUUGCCUCAACUUGAAGGAAUUAGGGCAACAAAUGAACUUCGUGUAAUGGGGGUUCGUAGCUUGAUUUUGGGUAUGUCGAGAUCAUGCAGUAAAGAGGAAGUGCGAAGUCGGGAAAGAAUAAUGGUGGAAGACGCCAUAGAUGUCCACUACACGAAACCCUU